CCCGCCGCCGCCACCCCGCUUUGAUGUCGCUGGCGCUGAAAGGUUCCCAGUGGCAAGAUCUGAGGGAAGGAGACACACACACUCUGCUUGAUGUCCCAAGAGGCCCCAUCUCCGGCGAUGAGCAAGGGCUCCUGCAUCCCCAUGCCCUUCCUCCCCCAGCUUUGGAAUGUGACCUUUCCCGGGUGGCCCUGCCACUCCACCCUUAGCCCAGUGGGCUGCAGGCUGGCACCAGCCAGAGACCUGCUCCUUUGAUGCUGACGAGGCCCCUGGGAAGCAGGCGUGGCUCUCAUCCCCGUCUCACAGAUGAGGAGCCUAAGACGCAGCUGCAGGCCCCAAAGAGGCUGGUACUUGGCUGUCUUACUCCAUCCGCGCUGGUGCAGACGAAGUAGACAUCUGUCUAACAUGCAAAAGGCGGGUUCUGAAACACCCUACCUGCCACAAGGCUUCCAGAGUGCAGCCAGCCCACCCCCUCAAGCUGGCCACUCCGAUUAUUGGGCCUCAGGCCUAAUCCCCACUGGGUGGUACCCUGUGCCCAGCCUGAUCAUCAUUGGU